UUAUAAAUUAUGGAUCAAAACAACAAACAUAAAUAAAUGAUAUUAUAAUGAAGAGUUUAUUUAUUCUUCAUGUCACGCCAACAAAACAUCAUCAUUAAAUAUAGAAAGACAAACAAAAAACUAUAUAAAAAUAAAAUGUUAAGCUCCAUAGGGUCUUCUUGUCCUAAAGAAAAAUUUAAGGCUUUUGACUCAAAAGUUAAAUUCAAAAAUUUAUUAAGAGACAGUUGAUUUCUCGUCAAGCCAUUCAUUCCAGCCACUAAUUAAGAGACUAAUGAUUAUGCUACCUUUGCACGGUCACAAUAACGCGGCUCUUUAAAAAUCUGCUCAGUGAGCAGGCCAGACCUCAAAGUAUUUUCAAGAGGACAUGUUUUUGAUAAACAGGCGGAAAUCAAUUUUGCCUAGUUCCUUAUAAUAAAUUCACAAGGUAAAAAUUAUAUACAAAUAAAUAUACUAAUUCUAUCAUUAUUACAAAAAUUUUAAAAUUAAAUAAAUAAUCUUAAUAAAAAA